ensembl:lncRNA
AUUAGAAAAUGUCAGUGGCUAUGAGCUAAUUCGUUUCAAAUGUAUUUUAUUUGCAUAAAAUUGGCAUUUUAGAAAGUGAAUUUAUUGCUCACAAUCAUCUCUUCCAAUGUGAGAUUAUUGCCAUAUUAGUAGUAAAUGUGCUCUGACUGAAUCUAUAUCAUUUAAUCAAAUAUUCCUAGAUUGAAAUCCUAAUCAUGUCUUAUAAGAUUAAAUAAAAAGACCCAGAGGAUGUUUUUGCAAGGCCUCAACCAAGGAGGACGAACUGGUGACUUAAUAGGAACAUUUACUGCUUUGACUGCCUGGAGUGUGAAACCACCUAUGUUUGAGGAGUCCCUCAUUUCACACAUCAUAGCAGGAGGCAGAAUCCUGCUUGAGAAGGUGGCCGGGUAGCAAACUGAAAAGGCCAGAUCCUUUCCCCGUCUCCUUUGCAGCUAGCGUGGCAUUGUGAUCUAGGCUCAGCCAAUCAGACACACCUUCCCCAGCCCCCAUUGAGGCUUUGAAUCACUGCUAAGGAAGCACAGAGUGGGCAGAGGAGAAGCCGUUCUGGCAGCACAGGUGACGGUAGAAGCAACUCCAGGUCUGAUGCCAGCGGCAGAGAGAGGGCAAGCUGGCAUCCGGUGUUCUUCGGUUGUAGAAGACGUGUCACUGUAAUACAAGUGCGUUUAUAGACCUCUUGCCAAUGAAGAUAAACUGCAUCCAGUGUGCUGUAUGGCUGAGUCUCCACGAUGUUCCUCCCCAAGAGAGGAAGAGCAUUGGACACAUUUGAAGUCAAAGCUCCAAAGGGCCUUCAGAGAAGAAAACCCCGAAAAUCCCUAAUUCCCAAAUUAAAAUCUGCAACAUUUCUCCUUGGAGGGGGAAAUGUGACUGACCAGACCACAGAGCGGUUGGGUUGGAGAAGAGCCCAAAUAUUGGUCUCAGUCAUCUCAGUGACAUUUUGGAGGGCUGCUCAAAGGUUUGUCCAUGGUGUGUGUCCAUAUCCUAGACACAAGUCAAAAUCUGUCUUCUGUGUUAUCAAUAUAUAGAUUCAGAGAGACGGACCCAGACCUUUAUUUACUUACUGAUGGAUGCUCUUCUGUGUCUCGUUCCUACCUCCAUCUCUGCCCAGACUUAAAGAGAGUUUCCAUCCUGUGAACAGCAAAUUGGUUCUAGUUUUUGAGCCUGAUCCAACCAUAAAAUAGCUGCGUGACCAUGAAGAAGCAACUUUUUCUCCUUGGGCCUCCAUCUUCUCAUCUUUUAAGCGUGUAGCUCUAAGGAGUCUCAUAGGUGAGAUGACCUACAGUAAUGAAGUUUUAUAAAACCUUGCUUAUCCACCCAGAAUAUUAAGCUGAGCUGCUUUCCUGAAGUAAAAUGGACUCCAAGCUGUCGCCAACAGAUCGUGCUCACUGAUAGCAGAGCUGGAUUUGCAGAGACCAUCUCUCCAGCUUGGUCAGCCUCAAGAGAACCGUCAGCCUUUUCCAAUGACUCAGUCAACAAACCCAGCUUCGAAGCACUUAGAUAGAGGACUGCUAGGUGGCGCUGUUUCCCCAGAUUUCCAGGGAGUCUUCGGUUAAGCAGAUGGCUUUUGGAGAAGAAUUAACAAUUAACGUCCACAGUAUGAGCCAGAGCCUGUAGAAAAUAUGUUAUGUUCUAGAAACUACAGAGAGCCGAGAUUGCUCAAAGAUAUGCUUCUGCCAGCCUGGUUCUCUCCUGGCCAAGAAUGUAAUCACACAGCCUGUCCCAUCCACAAAUUAGUGGGACGUUAAUAACAAGGGUAAAUAAGGAAUAUUAUAAUAAAUGAUUUGUAUGCUUGU